rnacentral:rRNA from 1 species
UACGUAGGGGGCAAGCGUUGUCCGGAUUUAUUGGGCGUAAAGGGCGCGUAGGCGGUUUCUUAAGUUUGGAGUGACAGUGGGUGGCUUAACUACCCAAGGCCUCUGAAAACUGGGGAACUUGAGGACCAGAGAGGGACAUAGAAUUCCGGGUGGAGUGGUGAAAUGCGUAGAUAUCCGGAGGAAUACCAAAGGCGAAGGCAGUGUCCUGGCGGU